ACGGGGUGCAGCAGGCGCGAAACCUUUGCAAUGUGCGAAAGCAUGACAAGGUUAAUCCGAGUGUCUCCUGCUAAAGGAGUCUUUUGUCAGUUGUAGAAUCACUGAUGAAUAAGGGGUGGGCAAGUUCUGGUGUCAGCCGCCGCGGUAAAACCAGCACCUCGAGUGGUCAGGAGGUUUAUUGGGCCCAAAGCAUCCGUAGCCGGUUGCAUAAGUUUUCGGUUAAAUCUAUGCGCUCAACGUAUAGGCCGCCGAAAAUACUGUGCAGCUAGGGAGUGGGAGAGGUACACGGUACUCAAUAGGAAGGGGUAAAAUCCUUUGAUCUAUUGAUGACCACCUGUGGCGAAGGCGGUGUACCAGAACACGUUCGACGGUGAGGGAUGAAAGCUGGGGGAGCAAACCGGAUUAGAUACCCGGGUAGUCCCAGCUGUAAACGAUGCAGACUCGGUGAUGCAUUGGCUUGUGGCCAAUGCAGUGCCGCAGGGAAGCCGUUAAGUCUGCCGCCUGGGAAGUACGUACGCAAGUAUGAAACUUAAAGGAAUUGGCGGGGGAGCAC
rnacentral:rRNA from 2 species